rnacentral:tRNA from 1 species
GCGGGAGUGGCUUAGUCGGUUAAAGCAUCUGACUUUGGCUCAGAUCAUGACUUCACAGUUCAUGAGUUCGAGCCCCACAUCAGGCU